rnacentral:lncRNA from 1 species
UUAGCAGACAGCUUCCAGUUUUCUUUGUAGGGGAUUUUGAUGGAUGGUAGACAGUCUAACAUUAAUCUGUUGUGUGUGUAGCAAACCCUCCCUUUGUCUUCUCUCCCCCUCAGUGGGGGAUUACAUCUCCCCAUCGGUUGUGCUGCAGUAACACAGACUGAACAUGCACCCCACGUCUUGUAAAGGACAGCCGCCCCUCCUACUCUAUUAUCAAGAACCAAACUCCCCCAGAGUCUCAAUUUAGCAGUUGCUUCUGUCUCCUACUGAAAACACACACUUCCUUUGUAACAAAACUAGGAUGGCAUUUCACGUCACCUACUGAGGAAGGAGACCCACCAGUAAAGAGAUGGUAGCUGGACCAGACCAAAAAUAUGGCGGUGAUAUCAUGGAACUGGUCUUUGGAAAAGUUUUCCCUGAACCAACUCCGUUUCUAGAUGAGGUAGAGAAGAUUAGCAUCCCACCAAUCUUCUGGUCUCAGUAAUCAGACGAUGGAGGUCUCCCACUGUUAUCCAGGACCAGUUUGAAGCCCACAUACAGCCCCUCCCUCAUCAUCAGGAAACAUCAAUCCGUAUCCUGAGGACAACAGAAGACGGCAGGAGGACAGGAACUCUGAGACCUAGAUACCACCAGCACUGGGACACAAAGCACCUGUGUGUACAACGCCUACUAAAGCCUAUUUAUUAUAUUGUUCUGCUUCUUUGCUGUGAGGUUAAUACUUAGAAAAGUUGUAUAUUAAUAUAAACAAUAAAAAAAAUCACUGAUAGUACGUUUCCUCUUAGAUGUAAUGUCAGCCUUGUAAACAUUUAUUGCAUCCUGUAGGUAAAUACACAGAACAGGCUCAGAUCCAUGAUGAUCCAGCAUGCUUCUUCAUUCUGGCUUUCAUCUAAUGUAUUUAUUUAGAAUGCAGGUAAGAUUUAACUAUAUUUGUUAGCAAAGCAGACUGAUCUUGGGAAUUUCUCCGCAGCACUGAUUUCUCAACCUCUGUGUACAUGUUAGAAUUAACACGGUUACAGCUAAACACACACUUAAUUAAGAUAUAGGCUAUGAAUUGCAGACAAUAAAAACGUAAAGAUGUAAGCAUUAGAAUGAUAAUAAUCACAUUAAAGAACAUUUGGAGAAAUGUACUUUAUUUGUGACUAGAAUCUCAAACCUUUAAAUCAAAAUGUAACUGCUUUUUAUCCAUUUUCAGCCAUUAAGACACCCAAUAUAAAAUAAGACUACUUAUAAAAUUAUUUAUAAUUAUAUGUAUGUAUAUAUAUAGAUAGAGAUCUUAAUAAAAUGUAUUCUUUUAAUGGUGUUUUAAUGAGCUGUAUCAUUUUUUAAAACAUUUUUUAUAGAAAUAAAUAAGCAAGCAGCAUUCCUUGUGUGUGUGUGUG